rnacentral:rRNA from 1 species
UACGGGGGGGGCAAGCGUUGUUCGGAAUUACUGGGCGUAAAGGGCUCGUAGGCGGCCAACUAAGUCAGACGUGAAAUCCCUCGGCUUAACCGGGGAACUGCGUCUGAUACUGGAUGGCUUGAAUCCGGGAGAGGGAUGCGGAAUUCCAGGUGUAGCGGUGAAAUGCGUAGAUAUCUGGAGGAACACCGGUGGCGAAGGCGGCAUCCUGGACCGACACUGACGCUGAUGAGCGAAAGCCAGGGGAGCAAACGGG